rnacentral:lncRNA from 1 species
CCGUUUAAUAAUUUUAUUUUAUUUUUGUUAAAUUUUUAUGAGCAUAUAGUGUUUUUUUGCUUGGUAAUGUAACUGUUUUUUUGAGCAACUUCUAACUACAAAAAUAUACAUUUUGAAUGUUUUCAAUUACGUUUUUUUUUAACAUAAAUGAACUUUUUAAGCUAUUUUUAGGGCCAUUUUUGAAGUUACUAAACUCAUGCUUUUUAGUUUUUGUUUCUAUCUAUUACUCAAUUAUAAAAGCAAAAUGACAAAAUACUUCAUACUUAAUUAACCAACUAGUUUUUCAAUUGGAGAUUAUAUGCCGAACUAGUUUUUUAAUUAACAAAUAUUCUUGGAUCAUGAAGAUGGUGAAAGAUUGCAUUGCCGUUUUGAUUAAGAAUAUGGAACGUUUGAAAACCUUGGUAAGUAUUUUGUUAAAAGCACAAUGUCAUACCCUGCAGUUUUUUCAGGCAACUAGUUAAUGCGGUCGAAGUAUACAAACAUUUGGUUUAAAUUGUAAUGGUUAAAAAAUAUGAGAUCUAAUUUAUUUAAAUUGAAAAUAUGAGUUAAUUUUGUCACUAAAUUUAAACCUUGGGUUUAAUAUGUAAUUUCGUAAUCAAAGACACUUGCACAAAUUAUAUAGGCAGCGGAAGAAAUGCUAAUUUUAAUUUCAAACAAACCUUCCCAAUCUUUUUUUCCUAAUUCCAUUAAAUGUUGGUUGGAGUUAAAUUUUGCUGGAACCUGUAAAUUCACCUAAUGUAUAGGGAAAUGUGACGCCGUCUCAACAAUUGAGGUGCUUUCCCUGUGGCUACUUAGUUGGAGGUCUAAGCUUUUUGUGCUUGGAUUCUCCUAGACUAUGCCUUGAUGCUCUCUCUCUUUUUUCCCCCUUUUCUCCGGGCAAUUGAGGUGUAAUUUUGAUUAAUCGGUGAAAAUAAUUUACUAAAGAUAAAUAAAAGGUGAAAAGCAAAAUAGAUAAAAAAAAAUUAUCCCAAAUAGAAAGAAAAAUGAUUUUCAUACGUUCAUUUUCUUUAAUUGUAUUUUUCUUAUGUUUAUUGAAAUUAAAUUAUGCAAUUAUCGUAAUAAAAAUAUUUGAGUAAAAAUAAAUAUUUAAAUAAAUUUAUCAUAAUAAGGACAACAAAAUCUAUAAUAUAUGACACAAGUAUUUUUGAAUCUUUCAAAUUAUCUCUCACUAUUUACGGAUGAGAUCUAUUUGAGUUAAUACAAUGUCUGAAAUUUCACCUGAGACUAUUUUUUCUCCAAAAAAAAUAUCACUUCUUUUUUUCUCAAAGGUGUGUGUGGCCCACGUAGGUUGUAAAAAUCACAUGGUCAAACUAGCAACACUUUUUCAAAAUCAUUAUAUUUUUUAAUUUAUUCUUUAUUUUGUAGUAAUCUAUCUCUUAUAUGACGUUUAUAUCUUAUAUGUUUUUUAGGUUAUACAAAUUUUAAUGCACACGGAUGCGAUUUUUUUUUUUUUUACAUAAUGUCCGUGUGCACGGAUAAUUACUAACAGCUUAAUAUGAUCAAUUUAAUUGGUUUAGUAUUUUUCUUACAUCCCUAGGACUUGGGUUUGAUCGGAGAUUAUAUGCCGAAUAAAUUUUUUAAUUAGUAAAUAUUUUUGAACCAUAGAGAUGGCGGAAGAUUGUGUUGCCGUUUUGAUUAAGAAUAUAGGACUUCUGAAAAACCAUGGUAAGAAUAUAUCCUGCAGUUUUUUCAGCCAGUUAGUUAAUGCGGUUUCAGCCAGUUAGUUAAUGGGGUCAAAUGAUACAAUCAUUUGGUUUGAAUCGUAAUGGUUAAAAAAUAUGAGAUUUAAUUUCUUAAAUUGAAAAUAUAAAGUUAAUUUUGUCACCAAGUUUAAACUUUGGGGUUUAAUUUGUAAUUUCUCAAAAAAAAAGCAUUAAAAGUUAGAACUCAAAUCCAAUACCAAUCGGAGGCCGAUUCACUUUUGGGUUCUCUCUUGGCAAUUGCGAACUGCGAAGGCGACGUGAUUCUAGGGUUUGCGACGAGAAGAAGAUGAAAUCGGGAGCGACGAUCUGUGUGGAUGCUGAGCCCUAUUUGAGGGUGAAGGAGGAAGUGGAGGAAAAACAUGGCCUUCAAAUUGUUGGCGAAGGCGACGAGUAUUGCCUGAAGCAAAGCGACGAAAUAAGUGGAAUCGUAACGACGACCUUUUUGGGAUCCUGGAUGAUGUGGCUAAGCCCCUUUCGAGAGUGAAGGAGGAAGUGGAGGAAAAUCACGGCCUUCGAAUUGGGGGCGAUGCUAUGUUUUAUGCUCAUAUUCUUAUCGGAGGAAAGUUUGGAGAAUGUCAAAUUGGUAACUGUUAAUUCUCUCGUCUAUUACAUCUGUUGCUAUCCGUAUGUAAUCAAAUUUUGUUGUUGCUGCUGCUGCUGUUGUUAAAUCUCGUCUUUUCAUAAUUUCGGUUGAUUUUGGAGCUAUUCGUAGCCAUGGAUGGACGCAGACCUUGGGGCGGAUGGACAUACAUGGACGAAAAACUUGUGUCGAUUGCCUGAACAAAUUAUAUCAAUCUAGUAGAGUGCUAUUUUGUACAUCCACCUGGGUGAAUAUUACCCCAUUUAGAAUAGUAGACCCCGCAAUUUAGCCAUCACAGAUAGGAUAUUGAUGUGGGUGAACAAAAUAGCACUCACAUAAUUAAACUGAAACAUUAGAAGAAGAGGAAGAAUGAGAAGCUAAAAAACCUUUAGCUUGGUGGAUAUGACAAUGAAAAAGAUCUCCCCUGACAUGAGAUUCUUUCGUCAUUUGGCAUAAUUUUCUAAUAGAAAAGUUUAUCUGUUGGCCGAGUUUUUUUUCUAUCUGUGAAGACUGGCAGAACACGCUAUGGCCCGAUAUUUUCGUCAGGUGUUUAUCUGGGAUUUUCCUACCUUUGGAGAUUGGAUGCCUCCGUGCAUUCGCUUUGCACGGCAGAUUAGUUUUGUCAUUUCUAGCCCAAACCCACAAUUUAGAAGGUCGCCUUCUUUAUAAAAAAAUUGUCAAAGGGAAACAUAUGUAUCAUUUUUUGUUAGGCUUGAACAAAAAUCUCGAUGAAUUAGAGGACGACUUAUGGGCUUAAAAACCUCUGCCGCACCUCAGAGAGGCAUUUUAUGAACUCCGUCGUGAAAAAUUCGAAAAAAGCUCGUGAUGGGACCCCAUCAACAACUGAAAUAGGCAAGAAAGCUCUGUUUUUAAAACUCAUAUUCACUCCUUCUAAAACCGUCAAAAAUAAAGGAGGAAGGCCUUGGUGUGAUCAGUGUGGAAAGCCAGGUCACUCAAUAGAAACUUUCCAGAAUAUUCAUGAAAAAACAGCAGAUUGGAAGCCAUAUCAACUACUUGAGAAAGAAAGAUGUCCUUUUAUGUCAGCGUAGUCACAAACUGGUUCGUCUUCAAACAAUGUCAUUGAUUCCGGAACCUUGGCUCACAAAGGUAAUUCUUUAAGUGCCUUUAUUAUUGGUAAGAAAUUUAAAAAAUUUUGGAUCAUGGACUCGAGAGCAUCUGAUCAUAUGAGGGGAGAUAUAACAAUUUUUUAUAUAUAUAGCUUAUGUCCAAAUAAUCUAACGGUCCGAAUAGCGAAGGUUACCGAUAUAGGUUCAGUUGUGCUAUCACAGGAUCUUAAUCUCAACUCUGUUCUUCUUGUUCCUAACUUGGACUAUAAUCUAUUGUCAAUUAGUAAACUUACUAAAGAAAGGAGGCAUGUUACUAAUUUUUUCUCCAUUCACUAUGAAUUUUAGGAUUUGGAUUCGAGGAAGACGAUUGGCAAUGCUGAGGAAUACUCCAGACUCUCCAUCCUUAAGGAUCGCAACUAUCCACAAGAACAAUCUCAAACGACAUUUAGUGGUAUUCUUUGUUUUUAUUUGUGUCAAAAUAACGAUAGUGCAAUCAUGUUUGGCACUAUCAGUUAGGCCUCCUAAUGUUAUGCAUCUCACGCUUUAUUUUCUUCAUUAUUAUUCCUCCCCAAUCCCACCUCCUUUUUCUUUUUCCCUCUUUCCCUUCUCCCCUCCCCGACCCCCUCCGUUUCUUUCUUCAUUUUUCAUUCACCCCCUAUAAAGCUCUAAUCUUCUCAAUGAUUCCAUAGCGAUAUAUGGGGCUGUCCAGAUAAAAAAUUUAACUGGUUCUAUGUGGUUUUGGUCUCCUUAAUAUAUUAUCACACUAGAUUAACCUGGGCAUUCCUCAUGAAAGAAAUUUUGAAACGGGUUCAAAUCUUCAAAAAAUUUAAAAAUAUGAUUUAACUCAAUUUUAGUCAAAAAUACAAAUUCUAAAGCUAAUAACGCUAAUGAUUAUUUCAACUCUAUUCUAAGUUCAUUUCUAGAAAAAAAAAAAAAAAAAUAAAAGAGAGGAUAAUUCACUCCAAGUUUCCAUGUGUAGAUACACCAUAACAAAACGGAAUCGCUGGAAAAAAAAUAGGCAUUUGUCAAGGUGCGAGAUCGUAAUGUGUUUUUUUUUCUCCACAAAUGUUCCAAAAUUAUUCUGGGGGGAAGUUGUACUUUGGUGGCCUACUCAUCAUAGGAUUGCCGUAUAAGGUACAAACAUUCCCAAUGCUUUGUCAAAAGCGCUUAAAUCAUUUUUGAUACUCAUCGUUAUCUUCACCAUCCAAAUUUUUGGGUGGCUCAGUCUUUGUUCAUGUCCAUCAAUAGUAUACGAAGUAAAUUUGAAAUCAUAGUGUCACUCAAAUGCAUCUUUUCUUUGGUAUCUUCAAAUCAAAAAGGUACAAGUGUUACCUUCGUCACAAGAAAAAUCUCAACUAUAUCCCAAUUCUUUGGCAGUAUCGAAUGACAAUUUUUUUUUGCCAAUGUCAGUGGUCAGCGAGUGACAAGCGACGACCAUGACAUAUUAUUUUCUGCCUCCAUUUUUUGUAGGUUGGUGCUGAGGUUUCUGGUGCCCGUUGAAGCUCCAUUGAUGUAGUCUUCUUUCUCCUUUCCCCGUAUGAACAAGUAAGAUGACUAGACCAUUGUAAAUAAUUUUGUCCAUUCAGUUUAUGGGAGGAUCCCUGAAGAUAAGAGGUUUCCUCUAUAAAGGAUGAAGAUGAUGAGAUGUGCUAUCAGAAGAAGAGGAGGGUGAGUGGUAGCCAUUCGUAAGGUUGGAUCGUAUUUACGACAUGAAAUAGAAAAAGAGAAUCGAGUAGAAAAACUCGAACAUUGAUUGAAGAUGAAGAAAUUAUAUCAAUCUAGUAGAGUGCUAUUUUGUACAUCCACCUGGGUGAAUAUUACCCCAUUUAGAAUAGUAGACCCCGCAAUUUAGCCAAUCACAGAUAGGAUAUUGAUGUGGGUGAACAAAAUAGUACUCACAUAAUUAAACUGAAACAUUAGAAGAAGAGGAAGAAUGAGAAGCUAAAAAACCUUUAGCUUGGUGGACAUUAAUUUUUCAAAAAUUUCUCGGGUGGAAAAACUAUAUAAUUUGAAAAUAUUAGUAGCUUAUACUAUUAUUAUAAUGGGUUUUUACCUUGGGGUGGCGUUGGCGCCCUUCUAUCUCUAUCUCUCUCCCCUCAAUUCCUAAUUGUAGCCUUGUUGGUUUUAUUUUUCCCGUGACGCUUCAAUGGGUUUCGGUCCUGAUUCCAUUGUUGGUUGGGUUUUUUGAUGUUACUUUUUCUGGUUCUUCGAUUGGUGAUUACUGAUAUUUAUUUUUCCUUUUAUCUUAACCGUGAUGAUUUAUUUAUAUUGAAGAAGACAGUUUAAUGCUAGAGAGAUGCAGCAUAUCUCAAUGAAGCCUGUGAGUUGACACGAUCUAGAAUCUUAAGCAAUGAGGACGAGAAAGAGCUUGAUAGUGUUGAGCACAUUAUACGUCGGUCUUUGAUAGAAUACAACGAGCUGGUUAAGGAGAAGCAUCCGAUCUUCAAGCCUUGGUGGGAUCGUGUUAGCCGGGAACUUAAUGGUGCAGAAACUAAAUUGCUUUCUUUCAUGGAUUCAUGGAUGCCAAUUUCCGCGAUGCCACACGUAACUCCUGAAUUAGUCCAUGAGUGUCAGGCUGUUUGUGGUCUGCUUCACCUGGCCAUGGAAGCUAAGAACUUGUCUGGAAUUCCUAAGCUGCUCAGUGAGUUCAUUGACCUCCUCCACAAACUUGUGGGGGCCGAUUCCGAUUAAGUUUCAAAGACAAUUAGUGAAACUGUUGACAGCAUCAAGUAAGGAGGUAAAUUUACCAUAGUCCCCGUAGGCUGUCAAUAGAUGUUUGUGCUUGUUUCAAUUUUUUUUCUUGGGUUCCUUUGUUUUUGUUUGAUUUCCACUACUUGAAGUUCUAAUUUCAAUUCGUUGCAUUGGUAUAUAGGUUGCGAGGCCACCUUUCUGGCUUCCAAUUCCGUGGCUUCCUACUUUUUUCUGGGGAGUAUGCUGGGACCCAUCCUUGUACUGCUGCGUGAGAUGGUUUUGGGUCAGAUCACGUGACUAGUGCUAUGAUGAAACCAUGUUUUUCCGUCCUCGCUUGAAUACUUAUAAGCCAGGCGUGUUCCCAGAGGGUUUUCUCUUCUUGGGCGCCUACGUGGAUUGGUAAGGCGAACUUGCCAAAGCCAUCGCCGUGCAUCUAUAUGAUAAUGUUGGAACCGGCUAAUACGGGUGGACCUGUCAGAAUUCACAGAAUCUGCCUUGGGGAGACUUGUCGACCGCUGUGAGUUCUAUGCCGUACAGUGUUAUCUCUUUCGGCAAAAUUGAGAAGCCCCCUCCCUCGAUUUUGGACAUCCUCUUCAUAUUCUAAAUCAAGGUAGACUAAUUUGAUGGGCAAGGACGUAGCAUCGACUUCACUAAUACCAUGGUAUAUGACUUCAAAUGUGGGAGCAGAACAGCUCAAUUUGUUUUUGCAAAUGCUGCUUGCAUGAUUCGCGGAGUUUUUUUGGAAACAUGAUUGUUAACCUGAAGGGUAGCGGCCCUGAGCCGAGUAAUGAGAGUAGGAUUUUAUAGGUUUGAAAUCUCCUUUGUGGUUUUGUGUGGGAAUGCCGAGGGUUUCUUUUCAAGUGAUGACAAUCAAUAGUUUGGUGUCCAUAUGGCCUUUGCAGUCAAAAAAGUUCCUCAACCUGAGUUGCUGAAACUGUCUGGAUAAUUAUAUAUGUGUUUGAGAAUGGUUCAAAUAACCGUAUGCUAGGCUUAAAUUGAGGGACUGGCUAGUCAAUACUGAACGAAGGUUGUUGUAUACCCGUCUUAGGAACGUUAAAUGUAUUGUCUCUCGAGCUGCCUGUGAGUAUCCUUUAUCAUCUUUUGCAGUUGUUUAUUUUGAGUUGGAUCUGUUAAUACGUUUCAAUGUUGGUUUUUAGUAUUUUACCCGCGCCAUGCACGGGCUUGUUUUUGUAUGUUUUGCUUCCAGGAGUGUUUGUUUAUGUAAUUUCUAUAUAUAUACAUGCAUUCAAACAUCUACAUACAUACCAACGAAUGUACAUGCAUGUAAACAUCCACAAAUAUAUGUCGACUACUGACUACACAUGGUUGACCAUAUUUUCGGCACUCAAGGUAUAAUGGGUUUCUGGGUUUUGAAUUCUUAGAUCAAAUCUUAUGAACAAUCUAAGCAAUUUGAUGAAGCAGCCAAGAAAAUAAGUUUUGGACAGAUUCGCCAGAAUAAAGGUAGCACCAGUCCUUCUCAAACGCACGAAUCCUGUUGAAUUGUACAGUAGAAUUCAAAUUAUUUUCCACAAAAUGACGAGCACUUUUUAAAAGAAAUUGAUGAUCGAAUAAAAUAUUAUGAUCAGAAGAUUCCAAACAAAUGUUUGAAAUGUCUGGGUCAUCAUGCUUUACCUUUCUAGGUCUGAUACGCGUUCCAUCAAACAGUUUAAAAACAUAGCAUUUUCCAUCUAAGCCUUCACUAAAGAAAAGGAAAAGGGGUGCACAUUUUUUGUUCUUUGUUUUUAUGUUUUUUUUCCCAAAGCAGAGGUGGCACUGACAACAAACGAAAUUAGUGUUCAUAUAAGUUGUUGAGUAUGGACUGCAUGAUUAUGAUAAUCCACACCACUAUAAUUAACUUUGAAGUUCUUUCUCACUCCACUAUUAUUUUGAACCCCUUGAUAAUAUGUUCAUACUACAGGGGCCACUGAUUAGAAACCCCGCAUUUGUCUAUAAUACUCAAAUAAACGUAGUCUGUGUGAAGUUCCCCCCUGAUAUGAAAAGAGAAGAGAUAAAAUUCACCCAAGGUUAAAAUUAAAAAAUAUACUAAGAAAUAUGAAUAUUUUGCUGUGUCCACGUAUCCUUUAAAUGGGAAUUACAUGACUCCGACACUUGGACACCAAUCCGCACCAGAAAAACGUAUGUGAGACUAGGUAACAUAGGUGGCACCUUUCGCGAUCUGCCAAUAGAAGGGCACAACUUUAUUAUUGUAUUUUAUGAUUAGAAUUACUAUCGUUGCAUUCUUUGAACAAGGUUCCCUCGUUAUUUUGUACCUUAGUUAUAGACAAUGAGAAAAGAUCUGCGCGUGACAUGAGAUCUUCGUCAAUUUGGCAUAAUUUCUUAAUAGAAAGUUUAUCUGUGCCGAGUUUUUUUCUAUCUGUGAAGACUGGCAGAACACGCUAUGGCCCGAUAUUUUCGUCAGGUUGUUUAUCUGGAGAUUUUUCUACCUUUGGGGAUUGGAUGCCUCCGUGCAUUCGCUUUUGCACCAGAUUAGUUUUGUCAUUUCUCAUCCAAACCCCACAAUUUAGAAGUCCCUUCUUUGUAAGUGAAGAAUCGUGUCGGAUAUAAAGAGGUUUUAAAUGACAUUUUAUUGGAAAUUAUAGGGUGAACUUAAUUUAUGUUCUUAUGGAAACCCCCCACUAUUUCUGGAUUGGAAAUAUGUUCUUGCAAGAUAAAGGUAUAGUAGUUGUACAUUUUUCUGUCACUAGUUACUUUGUGAUAUACUUACUUAGGCCACUUAAACAAACUUUCUGGCACUAUCCCGUGAGAAGUGGUUGGACUGGCAUUCUCUGACUAUUGUGAAGUAUUAUUUCUAGUAUGCUGCCUUGUGCACUUUAUAAUUGCCUCCCAAUUUCAUCACAUUUCAUUAACGAAUACGAGGGAAGCCCAAUUCUUUAAAGUAUAGUUAUAUUGUUUCUUUGGCCUAAUAAUUUGCCACUCUUACAAGUUAUUUUGUGGCACUACUUGUUUGACAAGUCUUUAUGUAUACCUUUUGAAUCUGAAAGAGUGAAGGCUAUGGUCCUAUAUUGGAAUUUUUAUUGGUCUAUAGAGUUUCAUAAGUGUUGUUGUGCCUUGGAUUUACUGAUAGAUGGGCCAAGUACAAAUUAUUAAAAUUAUAAGUCGCGUUUGGAUGUGUGUUCAAACACUUAGGGGAGGGGUGGGGUGGGGUGUGUGGGGUGGACGAGUAUCUGUGUCCAAUACGUUUGAAGUCACCUUCUUGGAAGUCUUUAUACUUGUUAACUUCACCGUAAAAAAUCGAAACGCAUGAAUCCACGAGAUCAAUCCUGGUAUCAGAGAAUGAUAUGGUACCUAGUGUUUGGUUGAACGUUUUCAAUCUUGUUUCAGGAUAUUUCUUCAAAGAAGCCAUUUUUUUCUUUUGUCUUUUUGUGUAAUUUAGCAGUUAGUUUAUGACUCUAUAUAUAUUACAAUGAAGCCAAUACACUAUCAAAAAGGGCACACAAAAAGAAAAAGAUGAGCAAGCUAACCGCCAAGAGGGGAAAAAACCUAGCUAGCGUAGAAAGAACACCCUCUCACACAAACUCGUUAGGAAAUAGGCUUAAAAUUUACAUGUACUUAGCUUGAUAAUGAGAUUGGCAAUUGCUUUGUCUCUUGUAACCUUUAAGUGCUAAAUCUUCUCCUUAGUUGUGGCCUAGGGUCCAUGUAUGUGCGCCAAAUUUGUGAAUUACCGAAUUUACCCCAAUUUGUGGCCUCGCUUUACUCAUUAUGUUGUGAUCAAGUUUGAGGUAGGCUCAAGUAUCAAAGGAAGUGUGGCAGUCCAUGCGCUGACCUAACGAGUGCACUGUUUCCUUUAGCCCCCGUGCUUGUAUACACUUGUUCUUUGCAUUGAAUGUGUUCAAAGGGGUCGAUGUGGGACAGCUGAAAAAGUGGACACUUUUAUGUGACGAUGUCAUUUCGCUUUUAUAUAGUUACGCUCUUCAUCCAUCCCACAUCGGUGAAGAAGA